UACGUAGGGUUCAAGCGUUAUCCGGAAUCACUGGGCGUAAAGCGUGCGUAGGUGGCGUGUUAAGUGCAAUGCGAAAUCCUGUGGCUCAACCAUAUGGACUGUAUUGCAUACUGGCAUGCUAGAGGACGGCAGAGGCAAGUGGAAUUACCGGUGUAGCAGUGAAAUGCGUAGAGAUCGGUAGGAACACCAAUGGCGAAGGCAGCUUGCUGGGCCGACCCUGACGCUAAGGCACGAAAGCGUGGGGAGCGAACGAGGCAU
rnacentral:rRNA from 1 species